UACGAAGGGGGGCUAGCGUUGCUCGGAAUCACUGGGCGUAAAGGGUGCGUAGGCGGGUCUUUAAGUCAGGGGUGAAAUCCUGGAGCUCAACUCCAGAACUGCCUUUGAUACUGAAGAUCUUGAGUCCGGGAGAGGUGAGUGGAACUGCGAGUGUAGAGGUGAAAUUCGUAGAUAUUGGGAAGAACACCGGUGGCGAAGGCGGCUCUCUGGACCGAGACUGACGCUGAGGCGCGAAAGCGUGGGGAGCAAACAGG
rnacentral:rRNA from 1 species